UUUGAAAAUCCCACAUCAGUAAAGUCCAUUUCAAUUAUAUUCUGCUGGCAUUACAGGCGCCUGUACUGCCUGCAGAAUAUAAUUGAAACGGAUACAAAAAAAUUAUCUGAAGGUGCAGAAAUUAUCCAAAUACAGGAAUAUUCCAUUGUAGGCCCACUGAAGGUAUAAUGCUAUUAUAUUAUGAACAACUAAUCUGAUUUUAUUUGGAGGUCAGUGUAUGUUGAUCUGCUGCAGUAUUUGCUAUCGCCAGUAGAUGGCAGAGUAGAUUUUCUUUACUACUUUUCAAUUGAAAACUUGUAUUAUACAAAUGAAUAAGGAAAUGACUAAACUAGUGAUAAUAAAAUACUGUGUUCAUAGGAAUUACACAUCUGUUAACAUCCAGAACGCUAUUUCAUAUAUCUUAGGAUGUCAACCAUUAACUGUAUCAUAAAACAUGAGCACACAUGAGCACUGCUUCCAUUUUUAACCUAAGGAGUAGUAUAACCCCCCACCAAAAGGGGGCGCACUAUGCGUUUUAGCAAAUGGAACCCCCCACGAACAAGAAGCCCUUUUCUCCUAGGAUUUCUUCAUGAUACCUGAAGGUCCCGGAUUUCGACGUCCAACUUGAGAGUGUCAACGGAAGUGAUUCCAUAGUUAUCUGCUACUGAAAACUCAGAAGAACCUGAAUCUGAAUGAUGAGAUGGCGCACUUACCCCAGAUCGUGGAUACGGUGUGGCCAACCGUGUAAUCCAGAUCGAACCUGAUUCGUGUAUCGAGAAGACAUCAUACCCCAGUCCUGCCCGUCGCGUAGACGGGUAGUACUGAGUAUAGAGACCUAAAGACCCGGACCAGAACGGAACCAUUGAAUCCUCAAGCACACACACUAUUCAAGGACUGUACGGACGAUAUCCAGGGAACUGUACAUAUACACACUGACAGGACUGAAUUAUUGACAAGAUUUAUAUAAUAUUUACUGUUUCUAUUUUGUGCUGUUUAAUACUGUUUUAUACUUUAUAUUGUGAUUGUUCGGUGACUGUUUGUGAAACAAUAAACUGGUCAUUUGUUAAA